ensembl:lncRNA
CUGGCUCUCAGUGCAGUGGAUGCACUCAGGAAAGACAGAUGAUGAACCAGAUAUAUUCAGAAUCACACUGGCCAGGCCCAUUCCUGGAUAUAACAUAGUUUCAAAAAGCUAUAGUCUCUCCAGAAUACUUUCUUGAGGGAAUACAUACAUGAAGUCAUCGACAAUUUGGGAAAGAAGAUUUGUUUAUCACUUGUUCUUAACGUGGUAUGGAUUCUGUUUCUUUUAUUGCAGAAUUAUUCCAGCUAUAUUCCUCUGUUACUGAAUAGCAAAUGUUCUGUAAUAUAUGUAUCUGUUCUGGACGUGUUUUUCCUUUAGCUUCUACCUGCUGCCUCAUUCUGCUUGAUAGCGCGUUAUGUCUAGUCUGACACAGAACAAAUGAUCAGACAGAACUUUGCCUCAGUAGAGAAUCUGAAAGGAAAAAAUCUGUUUGUGUCAGAAAAGAUUACAUUCCGAAGUGUUCCCUUAAAACAUAUAUAUUUUGAAGAUAAGUUGAAAAGAAACAUAUGCAACUUCUGUGUUAAUUGUUUGCAUACUUCUAAAUGCAAAUGAUUUCAGAUGUUUAACCCAGCUUCCUCACUCUAAUCUGAAGUAAUUUUUACUUACUUUUCUAGUGACAUUUGGUAAAUUCAUGGUGUUGUUUGUGUCUGUUACUAAAACAAUCAGAAAAAUGGUAAAGAAUCACCCUCAAAAAGAUCAUUCUUUAACAAAGUCUUGUAUCCAACAAC